rnacentral:rRNA from 1 species
AUUGCCUUUUGGUUAGACCAUGAAAAAGUUAACUUGGUAUUAAGCUUUUUUAGCUUAAAGGAUGCACAAUCAAGUAACAUUUUUGUAUCUUCUUGUGUGUUCCAUAACAAAUCCACGGCACAAUUGUUGCCAAGGCAAACGUUAGAUUGAUUUUUCGGUGAUGCUGAAAUGUAUUCAUUUGAUAAAUUGACCAAAAGCUAAAAUCCUCAUGGAUUAUUUGAUGACUCUUGACAACGGAUAUCUUGGUUCUCGCAUCGAUGAAGAACGUAGCGAAAUGCGAUACUUGGUGUGAAUUGCAGAAUCCCGUGAACCAUCGAGUCUUUGAACGCAAGUUGCGCCUAAAGCCUUUAGGUGGAAGGCAUGCCUGCUUGGGCGUCAUAUAAUGUUGAUAUCUUUCACUUGUCUAAACAUUUGUAAAGAAUCAGAGAAUGACCUUCUAUUUGCUUGGACUUGUAGUGGGUUAAAAUUUAUUCUGCAUGUUCGGUACAUGGCAUGGUGGGUGGAAUUUUUUAGAAUGUUUACCAUUCUGAAACUGCGUGUCAUGAUAUUGUGUCGUCUAAUGCAAAUGAAGAUCACCCUUGGUUGUUUAAUUUUUUUAAACACUAUGAUAUUGAUAGCGACCCCAAGUCAGGCCAGACUACCCGCUGAAUUUAAGCAUAUCAAUAAGCGGAGGAAAGGAUCAU